rnacentral:rRNA from 1 species
ACUAGGAAUUUUGCGCAAUGGGGGCAACCCUGACGCAGCGACACAGCGUGGAGGAGGAAGGUCUUCGGAUUGUAAACUCCUUUUAUAUGGGAAGAAUAGAUGACUGUACCAUAUGAAUAAGCACCUGCUAACUACGUGCCAGAAGCAUCGGUGAUGCGUAGGGUGCGAACGUUAUCCGGAUUUAUUGGGCGUAAAGAGAUGCGUAGGCGUUUCAGUUAGUCUUUCGUUAAAAGUCACGGCUUAACCGUGAAGAUGCGUUGGAUACUGCUGGAAUUGAGACAUGAGUGUGUGAACGGAACUCCAAGUGGAGCGGUGAAAUGCGUUUAUAUUUGGAAGGACAUCAGAGGCGAAGGCGGUUCACUGGUCAUUGUCUGACGCUAAGGCUCGAAAGCGUGGGUAGCAAAACGGAUUAGAAACCCUGGUAGUCC